UAAGCGUACCGAUUGCUCUUCCAAAGGCC
rnacentral:piRNA from 1 species